rnacentral:tRNA from 1 species
GCCUUCAUGGCUCAGCUGGCAGAGCGUCUGCCUAGUAAGCAGAAGGUCAUGAGUUCGAUUCUCAUUGAAGGCA